GAUGAACGCUGGCGGCGUGCCUAAUACAUGCAAGUCGAGCGAACGGACGAGAAGCUUGCUUCUCUGAUGUUAGCGGCGGACGGGUGAGUAACACGUGGAUAACCUACCUAUAAGACUGGGAUAACUUCGGGAAACCGGAGCUAAUACCGGAUGAUAUUUUGCACCGCAUGGUUCAUAAGUGAAAUACGGUCUUGCUGUCACUUAUCGAUGGAUCCGCGCUGCAUUAGCUAGUUGGUAAGGUAACGGCUUACCACGGCAACGAUGCAUAGCCGACCUGUGAGGGGGGUCGCCCGCACGGGAGCUGGGACGCGGACCAGGCGCCUACGGGAGGGAGCAGAAGGGAAUGGGCGGCAGUGGGCGAAAGCAUUACGGAGCAACGCGGAGUGAGUGGCGGAGGCCUCCGGAGCGUAAAGCUGUGUUAUUGGGUAAGAACAGAUGUGUAAGUAACUGUGGAGAUCUGGACGGUACUUAAUCAGAAAGCAACGGCUAACUACGU
rnacentral:rRNA from 1 species